CAAUAGACACCCAUCUUGUCUUUUGCUCUGCAGUCAGUAAAUAUUUUUUUGUGAAUGUGUAGCAAAAGACAGAAUGGGGGUCCAUUG
ensembl:miRNA